AACAAUAUUGAAAAUACAUAAUAAAGCAAGAAAAAUAGACAAAUAUUAUUCAAACGAGACAUAAUGGAAGCAAGAAAAAAAUAGCUAAGAUAUUAUUCAUUUUCAACAUUAACAUCCCCCUCGGCAUCCGGCACUUCUUCCGGAAGGGCAACUUGGGCAUAGGGAUAGCGGACGCGGUCAAAAUAUCCAUGAAGCUCGUGGGAUAAUCAGGUGACAUUCCUAUCAAUACGAGUCAUGG
rnacentral:lncRNA from 1 species